UAGCCAAUGAGGAAUGAUCAUUAUAAGUUGGAAUUACCGACUGAGUUUACAUUGAUGACAAAUAAUCAUCGACCAUCUGAGGCUCCUC